AACGAACGCUAUCGGUAUGCUUAACGCAUGCAAGUCGGACGGACUAAUUAGGGCUUGCUCCAAUUAGUUAGUGGCAGACGGGUGAGUAACACGUGGGAAUCUGCCCAUCAGUACGGAAUAACUUUUAGAAAUAAAAGCUAAUACCGUAUAUUCUCUACAGAGGAAAGAUUUAUCGCUGAUGGAUGAGCCCGCGUCAGAUUAGGUAGUUGGUGAGGUAACGGCUCACCAAGCCGACGAUCUGUAGCUGGUCUGAGAGGAUGAUCAGCCACACUGGGACUGAGACACGGCCCAGACUCCUACGGGAGGCAGCAGUGGGGAAUAUUGGACAAUGGGCGAAAGCCUGAUCCAGCAAUACCGAGUGAGUGAUAAAGGCCCUAGGGUUGUAAAGCUCUUUUAGCAAGGAAGAUAAUGACGUUACUUGCAGAAAAAGCCCCGGCUAACUCCGUG
rnacentral:rRNA from 1 species